rnacentral:rRNA from 1 species
CAGCCGUAAACUAUGCUCGCUAGGUGUCAGGCAUGGCGCGACCGUGUCUGGUGCCGCAGGGAAGCCGUGAAGCGAGCCACCUGGGAAGUACGGCCGCAAGGCUGAACUUAAAGGAAUUGGCGGGGGAGCACAACAACGGGUGGAGCCUGCGGUUUAAUUGGACUCAACGCCGGACAACUCACCGGGGGACGACAGCAAUAUGUAGGCCAGGCUGAAGACCUUGCCUGAAUCGCUGAGAGGAGGUGCAUGGCGUGUGACUG